GAUGAACGCUGGCGGCGUGCCUAAUACAUGCAAGUCGAGCGAACGGACGAGAAGCUUGCUUUUCUGAUGUUAGCGGCGGACGGGUGAGUAACACGUGGAUAACCUACCUAUAAGACUGGGAUAACUUCGGGAAACCGGAGCUAAUACCGGAUAAUAUUUUGAACCGCAUGGUUCAAAAGUGAAAGACGGUCUUGCUGUCACUUAUAGAUGGAUCCGCGCUGCAUUAGCUAGUUGGUAAGGUAACGGCUUACCAAGGCAACGAUGCAUAGCCGACCUGAGAGGGUGAUCGGCCACACUGGAACUGAGACACGGUCCAGACUCUACGGGAGGCAGCAGUAGGGAAUCUUCCGCAAUGGGCGAGAGCCUGACGGAGCAACGCCGCGUGAGUGAUGAAGGUCUUCGGAUCGUAAAACUCUGUUAUUAGGGAAGAACAUAUGUGUAAGUAACUGUGCACAUCUUGACGGUACCUAAUCAGAAAGCCACGGCUAACUACGUG
rnacentral:rRNA from 1 species